UGCAGAACUUACAGCCCUCCGAGGUGGACCCGUCGCUGGACCGAGGAUGCCGCCGCGGCCACACGCCGCGGGUCGUCCGGGCGCGUUCGACUUUGGCCACGCUGCUCGCAGCGAGUCGAGACCGCGUGCCUGGUACGGAUUCGCGCGCGUGGGUCGCUCAGGGUCAGUGGCGAAUCGGUCGGCAACCCACCAGACCCGUCUUGAAACACGGACCAAGGAGUCUAGCAUGUGCGCGAGUCACGGGGUCUCACGAAACCCAAGGGCGCAAUGAAAGUAAAGGCCGCCUCCGGCUGGCCCAGGCAAGAUCCCGAGCCGAAAGGCGAGGGCGCACUGCCGGCCCGUCUCGCUGGCAUCGACCACGAGGCGGAGCAAGAGCGUACACGCUG
rnacentral:rRNA from 1 species